AUAUAUUAUUUUGUAUCGAUUAGAAUGAUAACUGUCAAAAUUUGAAAGGGGUUUUAGUUCAUUAAAGUCAAAUUUUCAUGUAAAAAAAAAAAAUUGUUUCGCGGUAUUAGAAAAUAUGGAUCAUAAAAACUGUGUCAAUGUGUGUGUGUGUGUGUGUGUGUGUGUAUAGAGUAAGGCUACUAUGCUAUCGGAAGCACGUAGCAUUCUGUACUUCCAGCUCGUUUUCGAUUGCGACUUUCAAAUCGUCGAUCGACUCCGUUAAACUUGAUCUAGAGUAUUUGAAGUAGCUAGAAAAUAAAUUAUGCGAUUUUUCGAUAUUAUUUACCUAGUGAACGAAGGUGCUCAAAAUCAACGGCUGAAAAUAAAAAUUUUACAAAACAUGAUAAUAUGACAUUAAAAUUUUAGAUCAAAGAUAUUGAUCUUGUUUUAUAUAGUGUAAAAAAUUUUCUAUCAAAAUUUCACGUGAUUUGGAUAUUUCUACGCCGUUAAACUUGCAAACGGCUUACUACGGCCAUUAAAAUUAUUGAUUUUGAGCCCCUUCGAUCACUAAGCCAAAUGAUAUCGAAA
rnacentral:lncRNA from 1 species